rnacentral:tRNA from 1 species
ACAGUGGUGGUUCAGUGGUAGAAUUCGUGCCUUCCAUGUGGAAGAUAUGGGUUUGAUUCCCAACUACUGGA